rnacentral:ncRNA from 1 species
AUGCAAGCGAUGAAAAAGACAAGUAGUCAUAUUGAAUGAACAAGAGAGCUUAUGGGUGGUGCAAAUAAGCCAGGAGAUAUGAUGAAUACACUUUGGAGCAGCUAAGUGCAAAGCUUAGACGGAGAGAGACUUCGUUAUCAACUAAGAGAGUGUACAGAUGUACAAAUAAAGGUGGUACCGCGAGAAUUCGUCCUUUAG